rfam:Actinobacteria bacterium 13_2_20CM_2_72_6 13_2_20cm_2_scaffold_22885, whole genome shotgun sequence.
ACCGGUCCUCGGUAGUGGCCUUCGGGACCUCGCCCGUCCCGGGGGCUUCGAUCGAAGACCGGC